UAACUCGGGGACUGCCUGUAUUCACGUUACAAUAAUUUGGAAAUGCAUGUUAUCUUAAAAUACCAUUAGGCAGACACAGAAUCUUAAUUAUUACAUACUUUUCUGCCAAGGCCAUCAUUGUUAUAUCUGGGUGCAAAUAACUCUGUUUUGCAUAGUGCCUUAAAUCAGAGCACUUGAUACAUUUUAAUGACAACACAUAACCAAAGUUCCCUGUAAGCUGCGUGCCUCUGCAGGAGCUCAGCCCUUUUCUGAACCCUGCACAGAGGUAGGAAGCUCAUCUGAUCGACAGGGAAAGGAGGGGGCAGGACAGUCACACUCUUCGGAGAAGCAAAACAACCACAGUAGCAGUUGCUGCUGCCCGCUAUAAACAGAGGAGCUGACUCCAGCCUCUACUCCUGGGCUGGGCAAAAGAUGAUCUGCGGCUGGAUCAGGCCGUGAGAACCUCAGCCAGCUCCCUGCCUGCCCCACACCCACUCAGCACUCAGAAAAGCUGGGUGCAGGGCCAUGUGUGUGUUUGUGAACGUUAAGAGCCUGGAGGGAGGGGAAACAGGUUUCCCAUGCUGCUGCUGCCCCCAGUAGCUCCCAUGGGCUGGUUUUGACCAAUAGCAGCUGCCUGUUUGCAGGACAGGCAGCAUGUGAAAUGUCCCUUCUCCCUCAUCACCCGGGCUCACAGCAUUCAGUUAAGAACAAACUGAACUCUUGCAUCUCCCCUGAGCACGUACAGGGGCUGGAAGGCAGGACCCUAAGGAACCUGCUGGGCUGCUGGCUAGAAGCCAGGUAAGGCUCUAGCUUGUAAACCCCAGCCCGUCCUUCCCCUACCCCAACCCUCUGCCCUCCUACCCCAUAUAACCCAAAUCUUCUGCACCUCUGCUCCAACCCCCAUAGGCCUUCCUAGACACUGCAUACACCCCUCCUACACUCCUCCUCAGGUCACA